rnacentral:rRNA from 1 species
UGCUAGCUUGCUAAUAAUUCUCUAGUGGCGCACGGGUGAGUAACACGUGAGUAACCUGCCCCCAAGAGUGGGAUAGCCCCGGGAAACUGGGAUUAAUACCGCAUAAAAUCGCAAGAUUAAAGCAGCAAUGCGCUUGGGGAUGGGCUCGCGUCCUAUUAGUUAGUUGGUGAGGUAACGGCUCACCAAGGCGAUGACGGGUAGCCGGUCUGAGAGGAUGUCCGGCCACACUGGAACUGAGACACGGUCCAGACACCUACGGGUGGCAGCAGUCGAGAAUCAUUCACAAUGGGGGAAACCCUGAUGGUGCGACGCCGCGUGGGGGAAUGAAGGUCUUCGGAUUGUAAACCCCUGUCAUGUGGGAGCAAAUUAAAAAGAUAGUACCACAAGAGGAAGAGACGGCUAACUCUGUGCCAGCAGCCGCGGUAAUACAGAGGUCUCAAGCGUUGUUCGGAAUCACUGGGCGUAAAGCGUGCGUAGGCGGUUUCGUAAGUCGUGUGUGAAAGGCGGGGGCUCAACCCCCGGACUGCACAUGAUACUGCGAGACUAGAGUAAUGGAGGGGGAACCGGAAUUCUCGGUGUAGCAGUGAAAUGCGUAGAUAUCGAGAGGAACACUCGUGGCGAAGGCGGGUUCCUGGACAUUAACUGACGCUGAGGCACGAAGGCCAGGGGAGCGAAAGGGAUUAGAUACCCCUGUAGUCCUGGCAGUAAACG